GGAAUGGUGAAAAGUACCCCGGGAGGGGAGUGAAAUAGUACCUGAAACCGUGUGCUUACAAGCCGUUGGAGCCUUUUGGGGUGACAGCGUGCCUUUUGAAGAAUGAGCCUGCGAGUUAGUGUUAUGUCGCGAGGUUAACCCGUGUGGGGUAUCCGUAGCGAAAGCGAGUCUGAAUAGGGCGUUUGAGUGGCAUGACCUAGACCCGAAGCGGAGUGAUCUAUCCAUGGCCAGGUUGAAGCGACGGUAAGACGUCGUGGAGGACCGAACCCACUUCAGUUGAAAAUGGAGGGGAUGAGCUGUGGAUAGGGGUGAAAGGCCAAUCAAACUCUGUGAUAGCUGGUUCUCCCCGAAAUGCAUUUAGGUGCAGCGUUACGUGUUUCUUGCCGGAGGUAGAGCUACUGGAUGGCCGAUGGGCCUUCACGGGUUACUGACGUCAGCUAAACUCCGAAUGCCGGUAAGUGAGAGCGUAGCAGUGAGACAGUGGGGGAUAAGCUUCAUUGUCGAGAGGGAAACAGCCCAGACCACCAACUAAGGCCCCUAAGCGUGUGCUAAGUGGGAAAGGAUGUGGAGUUGCUUAGACAACCAGGAGGUUGGCUUAGAAGCAGCCAUCCUUGAAAGAGUGCGUAACAGCUCACUGGUCAAGUGAUUCUGCGCCGAUAAUGUAGCGGGGCUCAAGUACACCGCCGAAGUUGUGGCAAUGACCCUUUGAGGGUUGUUGGGUAGGGGAGCGUCGUGUAGCCGGUGAAGCUGCGGUGUAAACCAGUGGUGGAGGCUAUGCGAGUGAGAAUGCAGGCAUGAGUAGCGAAAGAUGAGUGAGAAACUCAUCCGCCGGAUGAUCAAGGGUUCCAGGGUCAAGUUAAUCUGCCCUGGGUUAGUCGGGGCCUAAGGCGAGGCCGACAGGCGUAGUCGAUGGAUAACGGGUUGAUAUUCCCGUACCGGUGAAAAACCGCCCAUACUGAUAUUGUGAUGCUAACCAUGCGAAGCAUGAUGUGCAGGCUUUUGUUUGUGUGUUGUGUGGGUUGUGGGACCCGAUCUUUGGAGGUAAACGUAUUAACAGGUGUGACGCAGGAAGGUAGCCAAGCCACGCGAUGGUUGUCGUGGUCUAAGCGUGUAGGGUUGUCGGUUGUUAAAUGCGCCGGCUGUGUGCCUGAGACGUGAUGGGACCCUGUUUUUGGGGGAUUUGGUGAUCCUAUGCUGCCGAGAAAAGCAUCGGCGUGAGGUUUUAGCCGCCCGUACCCUAAACCGACACAGGUGAUCAGGUAGAGAAUACUAAGGCGAUCGAGAGAAUCAUGGUUAAGGAACUCGGCAAAAUGCCCCCGUAACUUCGGGAGAAGGGGGACCUUGAGCGUGAUGGGCACUUGCUGCCUGGAGCGUGUAUGGGUCGCAGAGACCAGGGGGAAGCGACUGUUUAUCAAAAACACAGGUCCGUGCGAAGUCGUAAGACGAUGUAUACGGACUGACUCCUGCCCGGUGCUGGAAGGUUAAGAGGAUUGGUUAGCCCUUUUGGGCGAAGCUGAGAAUUUAAGCCCCAGUAAACGGCGGUGGUAACUAUAACCAUCCUAAGGUAGCGAAAUUCCUUGUCGGGUAAGUUCCGACCUGCACGAAUGG
rnacentral:rRNA from 1 species